rnacentral:rRNA from 1 species
GACGAACGCUGGCGGCGUGCCUAAUACAUGCAAGUCGAACGCAGUGGGGACGGGUGAGUAACACGUGGGUAACCUCCCAUCAGAGGGGAUAACACUUGGAAACAGGUGCUAAACCGAUACUGAUGGAUGGACCCGCGGUGCAUUAGCUAGUUGGUGAGGUAACGGCUCACCAAGGCCACGAUGCAUAGCCGAGCUGAGACGGUGAGCGGCAACAACGGGACUGAGAACCGGCCCAGAAUCCUACGGGAGGCAGCAGUAGGGAAGCUUCGGAAAUGUACGAAAGUAUGACCGAGCAACGCCCGGGGAGUGAAGAAGGUUUUCGGAUCGUAAAGCUCUGUUGUGAGAGAAGCGGUAACUAACCAGAAAGGGACGGCUAACUACGUGCCAGCAGCCGCGGUAAUAC